UAUUUCUCUGAAAGCUGUAAAAUGAACAAAAAAAAAAAAAGGAAAGAGCAAAGGCACAAGACGUCUAGAAGAAGGGAGUAAAAAGAAAAGAGACAAGUAGAAAGAGAGAUGAAAAGGUAGCUGGAUUAGAUUCUUAAAUGAGCAAAGAGAGGAGAAAAAGAAAGAGGAAAAGGAGAAAUUAAGUGAGAAUGAAGAAGGGAAGAAGAUAAAAGAAGCACAAGACAGCAAAUAAAUCUGAGGGAGAUUUUCUAUCAUCAAUUACGAUUACUAUGGACAUGUGGCUGCAAUCAAGAAGAAACUGAUGUCCAGGAAUGGAUGAUAUGUGGAAGUAAUUCUCUUAAUAAGAUGAAGAUUCAUGGCUGAAGCAGAGCUUGUGAUGAAUGGAAUAUCAGCAAACAUGUCAAGGCAGUUCUGUAGAAAAUUGAGGGAGGCUUAGGAAAAGUUGUUGAAAUUCUCCAAUAUGUAUGGUCAAGGCAGUUCCAAUCCCCAGUCUGGCAGCCAAGGUCCUCAAACACCGAUUGCCCCUCCAUACUUACACCAUCCACCUCCGCUCCCCCACAGUUUCCAACAAGGCCCUCUACCUCCGCCACCUCCUCACACUAGUCAGCCAAGUUUGCCUGGAUAUCAGCAUGUUUCUAUGCCCCAACAUCUUGCAGUUCAGCAACUUGCACCUGGCAGGACGCCUAACCCGGGUCAGCCUUAUUUGCACUCUUCUGCAACAGUUCAUGGAAGUGCUCCCAUGCCACAUGUUUAUGCACCUGCGCAGCAAAAUUCACAGCAUUCUUCCUAUUUAGCAUCGGUGCCUCCCCCUCCCCCUCCCUUUGGUUCACACCGUCCUGAAAUGUUACAGGCCUCGCUGCCUUAUAGAGGUUUGCCUCCUCCACCACCUUCACAAGGUCAGGGGUUUUAUAAAUCUCCAGUUCAUUCGUUGCCAAAACAACUAGCUGGUGUGCAGGGUCAUGUCCCCCCUCCACCUCCCCCACCUCUUCCUCCAACUUCCAGUUUCCUGACUCCUGCUCUCUCUGGGAGUUCUGCUGAGCCUCACGUUGGAAAUCCUCAAAUGCUUUCCACAGCUCCUCCCCCACCACCACCACCACUGCCCCCACCACCGACCUCUUGUGCACCACCCAUUCCACCUCUGCAUAACUCCCACAUGAUGCCAUUAUCUGCACCCGUGCUAGAUGGUUCCAUUCCACAAUUUUACUCUGAUUUUGCUUCCAAUUCCUCCAAACCUUCUGGUGAUAAAUUGGGCCCUACUAGUUCCGCCAAUGAAGUCAUUCCUCUCAAUCAAGGUGGACAUAAUGUUCUCAUGCGUGAUGACAACUUAUAUCUGGAAGGUGGAAGUGGUGCUGGGGUGUGUUUUAAAUUGGAUGAAGGAAAGACUUUUUCCGAACCCAGUCAUUUGAUGGAUGCAGUUGGAUCCCACAUGUCUUCUGACUCUGAUAUGGAGAUGGAAGAUGACAUUACACAGUCUGACAAUGACCAGGCAGUAAAUUACCCUAUUGGAGGUCAAACUCAUGGUAAUCAUUUGAUAGCUGGAGCAUUUGAUGUAAGAGAGCAGUUGCAUGAACUGCAGAGUUCAGCACAAUCUGACGCUUCCACAAUGGUUUUAUCUCUCUCUGGCUCCUCAAGGCUGAAUAAUGGUGAACAAGGCUCAAAACUCAUCAAUUGUUAUAACCAAUUGACAUCUGGGGAGUCAGUUUCUGAAGUUCAUAGCCCAGUCAUUAAUUCAGCAGGAGCUGAUGAAAAAAGUUCAUUAAGGAUCAUGGCAGCUGCUGGAUGCAUCAAUUCUGAUAAAUAUUCUGGUGAAGUUUUUAGAGGCAGCAGCCCAUUCAAACUUGUUCAAGAUUAUGCUUCUGAGGAUUGCUCAGAAAAUAAUGAGGAGCCCUGUUUGAAAGAUGACAUUCCUAAAACUGCCUCAGACUUGGUUACUGUUGGCUCUGAAUAUCUGCAGCAGCAGCAACCACCCUAUGGUUUGGAUCCCUCUGCUAUUGAUAACGUGUAUGGUCUAUCUGGGAAGGUGGGUUCUUCAUCUAGACUCCCACCAGAUAUUCUGGACUCAAAUCAGCCAUCUCACCUGCCAGAUUUUGGAGCAAAAAAUUCAGCUCACCUGAAUUCUUUUCCAACUAGUUUUGAGCAGCCACUCAACUCCGGAUUCAGUUCUGAUGUUGUAAGGCAAGAAAAGGUUCCAUCCUGUUCUUGCAAGGAUGAUCAUUCUUCAUGUUUGAACCAUGCUUCACUUGAUGGACAAGGUGUCAGUGUUGGAACAAGACAUCCAAUACCUUCGCCCAAUUCUGCCAGGGGGGUUGCACAAAUUAUUCCUAGCUCAGGAGGUGAUCAGUAUGAUCCGUUUUUAGACAGCAUUGAGCCAACUUCAAACUCAUUUAAGAGACUUGAUCACAUUCAGAAGUGGGAACCCAUUGACACUGAUGUUAUGCCGAGGCUUAGUGCCUCAAACAAAUCAUUGGAUGUUGAAGAAAACAAGAAAGAAGUUAGAGGCAUUGUGGUUUCCACAUCUCUUGAUAAUGAGGAGUUUGGUGAGAUUGCAGAUGCAGAAGUGGGUGAUGUUGAGAAUCAGAGCCAGAGUACUCCUGUUGUAGUGAAUGUGAAUAUGGGUGAUAUGGAGAUUGAUCAGAUUAAGUCUCCAAAGAAGAGCAAAAAGAGCAAGGAGUCCAGAUCAAUGAAGCUCUUUAAGGUUACCCUUGCAGAUUUUGUCAAGGAGGUUUUAAAGCCAUCAUGGCAACAGGGUAACAUGAGUAAGGAAGCAUUUAAGACUAUUGUCAAGAAGACGGUUGAUAAGGUUGCAGGAGCAAUGAAGAGCCAUCAAAUACCCAAGUCCAAGGCAAAAAUGGAUCAUUACAUUGACUCAUCGCAACAGAAAUUAACAAAACUUGUGAUGGGUUAUGUUGAUAAGUAUGCCAAAGGGUAAAAGUUGAUAUCAGCAAUGAUUUCUGGUUAAAGACUUUGAUUUUGCUUGCUUUCUGGGACUAGUGUCAAUGGAGCAGCAGAACAAUCUAGAAUUGGAUGCAGAGUGCAGAGCUGUGAGAAUAGAUAGGAAAAAAAAUGAUGGCAUAAGUAGAUUCCUUGUAUUUUGUGAAGUUUGCACCUGCCAAAAAAAGAACAUAUUAAGGUCCAUGACCAGAUGAACUCAGUUACAACAUAUUCCAACUUCAAGGAUAUUCUUAGAAGUCUCCAAAAUGCGCAUAGAGAUCAUUGAGCAGUCCUUUUCAAGAAUUGGAGCAGAAGCAUUCUUCAGAGCUUACAGUCAGCAAACCUCUCGCAUGUUCAUGUUGUCUGUUCUGUGAGUAGAAUCUUUCAGUAGAAUUGGAUUGUUAUAGUGAAAUGUGAGAUUGAUGACUUUAUUGAAUUACAAGAAUUGAGACUUGUUAAUAUAUUUUGAAUGCAUGAGAUGCUGGUGUUUUGCUUCUCUUUAUUCCUUCCCUAGAAUGGUGAUGCAUACAUGUUUUGAUGAUCUGGAACAUUUUAUUCUUGUAAAUCAUGUUAUAUGAUGGGUAUUUCAAUCUUGAA